rnacentral:rRNA from 1 species
UACGUAGGGGGCAAGCGUUGUCCGGAUUUAUUGGGCGUAAAGAGCGUGUAGGCGGCCUGACAAGUCUGCUGUGAAAACUCGAGGCUCAACCUCGAGAUGUCGGCGGAAACUGUCUGGCUAGAGUCCGGAAGAGGAGAGUGGAAUUCCUGGUGUAGCGGUGAAAUGCGCAGAUAUCAGGAGGAACACCGGUGGCGAAGGCGGGUCUCUGGGCCGCAACUGACGCUGAGGAGCGAAAGCAUGGGGAGCGAACAGG